rnacentral:rRNA from 1 species
CCUACGGGUGGCAGCAGUGAGGAAUAUUGGUCAAUGGCCGGAAGGCUGAACCAGCCAAGCCGCGUGAAGGACGAAGGUGCCAAGCAUUGUAAACUUCUUUUGUCAGGGAACAAAAUCAGGCUCGAGAGCCUGACCGAGGGUACUUGAAGAAAAAGCAUCGGCUAACUCCGUGCCAGCAGCCGCGGUAAUACGGAGGAUGCGAGCGUUAUCCGGAUUUAUUGGGUUUAAAGGGUGCGUAGUGGGGCUGUUAAGUCAGCGGUAAAAGCCCGGGGCUAAACCCCGGCGAGCUGUUGAAACUGGCUGGCUUGAGAGGGCGAGAGGUAUGCGGAAUGCGUAGUGUAGCGGUGAAAUGCUUAGAUAUUGCGCAGAACUCCGAUUGCGAAGGCAGCAUACCGGCGGCGAUCUGACGCUGAGGCACGAAAGCGUGGGUAUCGAACAGGAUUAGAUACCCGAGUAGUC